rnacentral:rRNA from 1 species
GCGGCGUGCCUAAUACAUGCAAGUCGAGCGGACAGAUGGGAGCUUGCUCCCUGAUGUUAGCGGCGGACGGGUGAGUAACACGUGGGUAACCUGCCUGUAAGACUGGGAUAACUCCGGGAAACCGGGGCUAAUACCGGAUGGUUGUCUGAACCGCAUGGUUCAGACAUAAAAGGUGGCUUCGGCUACCACUUACAGAUGGACCCGCGGCGCAUUAGCUAGUUGGUGAGGUAACGGCUCACCAAGGCGACGAUGCGUAGCCGACCUGAGAGGGUGAUCGGCCACACUGGGACUGAGACACGGCCCAGACUCCUACGGGAGGCAGCAGUAGGGAAUCUUCCGCAAUGGACGAAAGUCUGACGGAGCAACGCCGCGUGAGUGAUGAAGGUUUUCGGAUCGUAAAGCUCUGUUGUUAGGGAAGAACAAGUGC